GGAGCCAGAACAAACUUUUACAUUCAGCUCUCUUACUUGGAAAUUCCUUUGCCCGCAGACUGGAGAAGAGGAGCCAGAACAAGGGAUUUGGCAAUCUUGGCACUACCCUUUCAGAGAUUUAGCACUAUCCAGGGAUAUUAUCAAUGAAAAGCUGCUCCACCAUCCCUAUGGGAAGUGUAAGCAGCCCAUGGAGCAGCCAUUUCUCUGAUAGAAAAAGGAGGAGAGAAAAGGAGAAAGACAAGCUUCCUGCAGAACAAAAUUUCAGAGAUGUCAUGCUGUUUCUGGAGAGAGGAUUUGGGAUGAAAAGAGAUGUCCUCAAAAAGAUCAUGGUCCUUGAUAAACACCUUUCAAAACAUGCCAGCUGAAUUAACUGUGUGAAGAAAGACACAGAUGCAUUUGCAAUACAUUCUUUGUUUGAUGCUUCAUCCUUUCUUCAGCCAGAAUGAAUUAAAGUGGGUUCCACCUUUUGAUGAAAUUUGUUGUGUGUUCCCAAAUGAUUGGUAGAAGGUAUCUUGCACUUCUGAAGACCUAGCAUUAAUCUUACAUUUAUGGAAGCUUAGCAACACUCUCGGCUUGUGUCAAGCCUUAGUAUUCUGUUAAGCUUUCAACAUUUAAUCUUUAUACCGUGAAAAGAAUCAGAACUAGCCUGCUUGUUUGCUUCC
rnacentral:lncRNA from 11 species